rnacentral:rRNA from 1 species
GACAAACGCUGGCGGCGUGUAUUAGGCAUGCAAGUCGAGCGAGAAGCCGGCCUUCGGGCUGGUGGAGAGCGGCGGACGGGUGAGUAACACGUGGGUAAUUUGCCCUCGGGUGGGGAAUAACCCCGGGAAACCGGAGCUAAUUCCGCAUAAUGCAGCCGGUCAAAAGGCCGGCUACCAAAGCUGGGGAUCCUUCGGGACCUGGCGCCUGGGGAGAAGCCUGCGCCCAAUUAGCUUGUUGGUGAGGUAACGGCUCACCAAGGCUGCGAUUGGUAACCGGCCUGAGAGGGCGGACGGUCACACUGGAACUGAGACACGGUCCAGACUCCUACGGGAGGCAGCAGUGAGGAAU